UGGGGUGUGGCUCAGUGGUAGAGUGCUUGCCAGGCACGUGUGAGGCACUGUGUUCGAGUCUCAGCACCACAU
rnacentral:tRNA from 1 species